rnacentral:rRNA from 1 species
UACGUAGGUGGCAAGCGUUGUCCGGAUUUAUUGGGUUUAAAGGGUGCGUAGGCGGCUUUAUAAGUCAGUGCUGAAAUAUCCCGGCUUAACCGGGAGGGUGGCAUUGAUACUGCAGAGCUUGAGUGAAGUCGAGGUAGGCGGAAUUGACGGUGUAGCGGUGAAAUGCUUAGAUAUCGUCAAGAACACCGAUAGUGAAGACAGCUUACUAGACUUCAACUGACGCUGAGGCACGAAAGUGUGGGGAUCAAGCAGG